CCCUGUUAUCAAUCUGCUUUGUAAUGUUCUCUUUUGACCAUCCCUUGCCUGAGGAUUCAUCAUACCCCUCUAAAAUCCAGCAUAUUAUUUCCUGCACUGGAACCUAGACACCAUAGCUUGAGUUUCAAUACCUGCUGCGGGAACCCCAAGAUGCUCUCAGCUGCCUGGCUCACCACCUUGGAGAAGCUCCCAGGAUCUUGGACUAGGUAACACUUGGCCUAGUUUGGGUUUUCUCCUUUCUCCCAGCUCAGAGCCCUGGAAGCAAGGAUGCAGCCAUCUACUGCGGACAAGCAAAGGAACCUGAAUAACCGACAACAUGAAUGAGAGUCGGCUGACUCCAGUUUCCGUGGCCAUAUUUUUUAUCUGACAGUUUCCAUCACCAGAUGAUCCCUCACUUGUCCCAAGUUAAGAAAUCCCAUGGGAGGGCCAGUACGCUGGGCCAUCUAAGAACAUGACAAUUCCAACAGGAACACAUUGUUUGGCUAAGAAGAGAAGCAUGUCCCUGAAGACUGGGAGGUAUUUGCUGAGACAAGGAUAUCCCCUACCCUCUCCUUAGAGGUAAUGAGUUUGAAGAGACUGAACAAUUAAAUGAUGAGUGAAAUCCUGAGGGAGUCCAAAUA